rnacentral:rRNA from 1 species
AUUGAACGCUGGCGGCAGGCCUAACACAUGCAAGUCGAACGGUAGCACAGAGAGCUUGCUCUCGGGUGACGAGUGGCGGACGGGUGAGUAACGUCUGGGAAACUGCCCGAUGGAGGGGGAUAACUACUGGAAACGGUAGCUAAUACCGCAUAACGUCGCAAGACCAAAGCGGGGGACCUUCGGGCCGCACACCAUCGGAUGUGCCUAGAUGGGAAUAGUUAGUAGGUGGGGUAAUGGCUCACCUAGGCGACGAACCCUAGCUGGUCUGAGAGGAUGACGAGCGACACUGGAACUGAGAGACGGUCCAGACUCCUACGGGAGGCAGCAGUGGGGAAUAUUGCACAAUGGGCGCAAGCCUGAUGCAGACAUGCCGCGUGUAUGAAGAAGGCCUUCGGGUUGUAAAGUACUUUCAGCGGGGAGGAAGGCGGUGAAGUUAAUAACUUCACCGAUUGACGUUACCCGCAGAAGAAGCACCGGCUAACUCCGUGCCAGCAGCCGCCGUAA